CAAUAGCGUAUAUUAAAGUUGUUGCAGUUAAAAAGCUCGUAGUUGGAUUUGUGGCGUACGGUGUGUUCCGGGCACUUGUUGUCUGAGUAACCUGCUGUUGCCAUCCUUGGGUGGAACCUGUGUGGCAUUAGGUUGUCGUGCAGGGGAUGCCCAUCAUUUACUGUGAAAAAAUUAGAGUGUUCAAAGCAGGCUUAUGCCGUUGAAUAUAUUAGCAUGGAAUAAUGAGAUAGGACUUUUUUGCUAUUUUGUUGGUUUGCGCAAGAAGGUAAUGAUUAAUAGGGACAGUUGGGGGUAUUCGUAUUCCAUUGUCAGAGGUGAAAUUCUUGGGUUUUUGGAAGACGAACUACUGCGAAAGCAUUUACCAAGGAUGUUUCCAUUAA
rnacentral:rRNA from 1 species